rnacentral:lncRNA from 1 species
GAAUGACAGUAAAAACACUUUCAGUAGUGACAAUCUGACCUGAAUAUUUUAAGUACUGUAUAAUGUGUUUGAUGCUAGAAUUACAAAAAUUCAUUGUCUUUAUGUUUUGAAGGUCAAAAACCACAGAUGAGCUGUUCUGAUUUGGGUGACUACUUUGUCUUAACUUGCUCUUUGCCUGAAUCUGUUGAACGUGGUACAAAAUGUAACUUGUACAUUGGAGAAGCACAUCAUCCAGUCUCAACAACACCCAUCAUGAAGAAAACCACCUCAAAAAAACAGCAGUUGUGUCAGUUUUAUAUCACGAGAGGCGUUUUGCUGAAACACCUACAAUUAGUUCAGCUAAAGGAGGCCAGCUGUGAUUACAGCCUGGAACAUGAACCCAACUUUGCUUCUGCUCGUAGUGAUGGAUGCAGCUUGACUGAUUCAUUUUCUGGUAUAAAAACACAAGGUGGGUGUGAGUUUAAUAAUGGUUUUGUUAUUAAUCAUAUGAUCCAACAUAAUUUUACCAUUAACAUUUCAGGUCUGGUUCCACCUGAGCUGACAGUGACUCCACUGGUGAUCACAGAGUCAGACUCAGUCACUGUGAACUGUCAGACUCCAUCAUCUGUUCCUGUGUCUCAGUGUCACUUCACUGUGACGGGACAUUUACGUCUUGGAGACUCGUCUUGUCUUCAGACAGUGACAGGAGCUGAUCUGUUGCACAUGACAGGUCAGAGGUCACCUGCUGAGGUCAAACUUACAUGUUAUUACACUGUGAAGCUUGGAGAGAGAGAGUCUACAUCCACAGACAGUCAAACAUCAUCCAUCACCAUAAACUCUCUUCACCAGCCUGAGCUGACAGUGACUCCACUGGUGAUCACAGAGUCAGACUCAGUCACUGUGAACUGUCAGACUCCAUCAUCUGUUCCUGUCUAUCAGUGUUGGCUCUACUCAGUGAGGGAUCAAACCUCCAGAGUCGUCUCUUGUCAUCAGACACUGACAGGAACUGAGCUGAUGAAAAUGACUCAAAGUUCACCUGUUGAGAUUGAAGUUACAUGUUAUUACAGUGUAGAGCGAAGAGGAACUAUAUCUCUGUCUCAAUUCAGUAACUCUAUCAUCAUACAGAGUAAGUAGCUACUGGGAUACGUUUUAUUACAGCUUAUUACAAUAUUAACUAGUAUCAAAUUCGUACCAUCACCUGCUUCA